GGAUUAAAAUUUUGAGAGAAGAAAAAAUUGCUAAGUCUCUUGGAGAAAAUUGUAGCACUACCUGUCACUAAAACCUACUCGGAAAAAAGGAAAAAAAAAAAACACUAAACGAUUUCAGUUUUAGAGGAGGGUAAUCCGCAACCUCUAAAAAUGCCUCAAUGCUUUCGAGAAGAGGGGUAAUCCGCACUCUAUCAAGAAGGCAAAGCUCUGAAAUCAAUGUUAACAGUCUUUUUUACUAGCUAUGCUAAACAAAAAGAAGGAAUUAAUAUCAGUCCAAGAGAGGGUAAUCCGCAACCCUUAGAACGCUCAAGUAUC
rnacentral:lncRNA from 1 species